UAGGAGCUAUCAUGCCAGGAUCGACAGGCCGCUUGCCUUGUAACUGCAUAAGGGAAGGCAGACCUCAGCUCCACCAGUUCUUUCCUGUUUGCAUACUGUGAAUCUGAUGAGUCCACCAACUGCUGGUUCUCCACCAUUCUGGUUCUAAGAAAGACCUUGAAAUGGCAAGAGUGACUGGAUCCGGCCAGUUGUGCUCCUGUGAGGUUAGCAUACAGCUCUUAUGUAGCUAAUGAUUGCUGGCACUUGGUUUUGAGGAUGAAAUGAGCAAAUGGCUAAAAAGUGAAAAGAACAGAUGGGGAGCCUGAUGCAACUUAUAACUUGCAUCGCAAGCACCUUUUGAACAGAGAAUCAGCAGCCUUGUUUCUCAAAAUAGUUUUACAGAGGGGAAGCAGAGAGAGUAGCAGACGGAGACGGGAUCAUGAGGGGAUUUGUGUGCACUCAGAUCUGGCAAUACUAAUCCAGUCAAGUAGAGCCCGAAACCUGAGUUUGAAGUUUAACAAACUGUCCUGUCACUCAGGCCAUUGCAAUCGGCAGGGGUCCCAGCAGGAUGGAUCCAUCUUCAAACGGUGUAACAGUAAAUCCCCUGUCAGCUCAGCACUUCAAUUACAGAAAACAACAGUAAUAUACUGUUCCCUUCACACCUACAGUACAUAAAGUACUGAGGAAUAUACGUGACAGAUGACCCAGCCCAAGUGUGGCUAUUGACCCUCACCCCAAGUCCAGCUAUACACCAGGAAGCACUCAUUGAUCUCUUCAAAAGACAUCCAUCUACACACUUUUGGAACAUAUUGAAUCCUGAUAUGUUCAUUCACUGUGUUUUGUUUACUUCAGCUCUGUAAAAGGGACAUUUUUGAUUUUGUGGGCUUCAGUGCACCUAAUUAAAUUGCAUGUUCUGGCUCACUGGAAAAAUGCUGAUUUGGAGAGUUGCAAAUAAGAGACUGACACGCACUUUUUUCUAGCUGCACGCCAUGCUCAAUCCUGUGAAAUAAAAAUGUUUAGGCACUUAAUUUCAUCAGUUAAAAUAACAAAUUAAAUUCAAUUUGCUCUCUUUACCCCAUUAAGUAAUUAAGUGAAUACCAUAUUCUGAUGAAUGAUUACAUCUUUUAUAAGCCUUUGGAAUAAUUGAUGGUAGAGAACACUGACAUCUGUCACCUUAAACCCCUCCCACAAAAAAUAACAAGAAAACAAAAGCCUGUAUACAAUGUGCACAUGACAGAUGAUAGACUGACAUUUUGACAACAGGAGAAGCAUGCUAUAAGAUCAUAGAU